rnacentral:lncRNA from 1 species
CUUUAACAGAGCUACUGCAGACAGAACAAGGGAAACAGCUCUGCCAAUAGCUCCCAGUGUGUGUGUGUGUGUGUGUGUGUGUGUGUGUGUGUGUGUGUGUGUGUGUGUGUGUGUGUGUGUGUGUGUGUGUGUGUGUGUGUGUGUGUGUGUGUGUGUGUGUGUGUGUGUGUGUGUGUGUGUGUGUGUAAGCCCUAUGCAUGACUGCUAGUCUUCUGAGCGAGUAGACUGCCGUCUGGUCGUCAUGGUUGUGUUGGACUGAAUGGAGCCGCUCUCCAUUUCUACGGAAUUAUCAAUUGGCAUCCUCCAGCUGUCCUCUCGGUCGUCCCAAUAUGCCCCCUGCUGAGGCUGCUGACACAUGGAGACGAUGAGAUCUUCAAAAAGUUCUACAGCUUCACCAUCGAGAGCAUCCUGACCGGUUGCAUCACCGCCUGGUAUAGCAACUGAUCGGCAUCCGACCGUAAGGCGCUACAGAGGGUAGUGCGUAUGGCCCAGUACAUCACUGGGGCCAAGCUUCCUGCCAUCCAGGACCUAUACACUAGGUGGUGUCAGAGGAUUGUGAAAGACUCCAGUCACCCAAGUCAUAGACUGUUCUCUCUGCUACCGCACGGCAAGCGGUACCGGAGUACCAAGUCUAGGUCCAAAAGGCUCCUUAACAGCUUCUACCCCCAAGACAUAAGACUGUUGAACAAUUCUUCAAAUGGCCACCUGAACUAUUUACAUAGACCCCCCCCUUUGUUUUUACUCUGCUUCUACUCAAUGUUUAUUAUCUACGCAUAGUCACUUUACCCCUAUCUACAAAUGACCUCGACUAACCUGUACCC